CCCAAAUGAUGUAGUCAAUGGUGCUACCAAAAUCUACUGCAAAUAACCUAAUAAUUGUACACAGACAUCUUGACAUAGGCCAGUUCUCAACAACAGUAAAAUUUUGAGCCUGGAGUAUGAGAGCUGUAGAAAGGACAGCAGAAAAGAAGCAUUGAAAAUAAAUAAAAACUGGUCAGGGGAAAUUUGACAGAACAGGUAUUGAAGUCUGUUUCUUGCAUUUAUAAAUUGAGUUCACUUUGGCAUAAGAUACCAGCAGACAUCUAAGAUGCAAGAGCUGGAGUGGAAGUUGAUACCUUCCUUAUACUCAAGAUCUCUUUAUUAAUGAUUUUGUCUUCCCAAAAUAAUUAUAAGAAAAAUGAACAAUCAGGGGCCAUUCUACCUAUUGUAAGCCAAAUACUUGGAUAUGUCAAAGAAUCCAACUGUUUAUCUCCAUCUUGUCCUACCGUGCAAGUGACCAAUACUUAGCUUUACUAUCUCCCCAGCUCAGCCUCACUUCAUAUCAAGAAGUGAGUUUUGAG
rnacentral:lncRNA from 1 species